rnacentral:rRNA from 1 species
GACGAACGCUGGCGGCGUGCCUAAUACAUGCAAGUCGAACGCACAGUUUAUACCGUAGCUUGCUACACCAUAGACUGUGAGUUGCGAACGGGUGAGUAACGCGUAGGUAACCUGCCUGGUAGCGGGGGAUAACUAUUGGAAACGAUAGCUAAUACCGCAUAAUAUUAAUUAUUGCAUGAUAAUUAAUUGAAAGGUGCAAUUGCACCACUACCAGAUGGACCUGCGUUGUAUUAGCUAGUAGGUGAGGUAACGGCUCACCUAGGCGACGAUACAUAGCCGACCUGAGAGGGUGAUCGGCCACACUGGGACUGAGACACGGCCCAGACUCCUACGGGAGGCAGCAGUAGGGAAUCUUCGGCAAUGGACGAAAGUCUGACCGAGCAACGCCGCGUGAGUGAAGAAGGUUUUCGGAUCGUAAAGCUCUGUUGUAAGAGAAGAACGGGUGUGAGAGUGGAAAGUUCACACUGUGACGGUAUCUUACCAGAAAGAGGCGGCUAACUACGUG